rnacentral:misc_RNA from 1 species
AAGUCGUAACAAGGUCUCCGUAGGUGAACCUGCGGAGGGAUCAUUACCGAGUGAGGGCCUUCGCGGCCCGACCUCUCCACCCUUUGCUGUGACCGUAACCGUCCGUCUGUCGCCUCGGGGGACCCCCGACGUUCGCGUCGGCCCCCCGGCGUGCCAACCAACCUCUGCAUCUUCUGUCGUCCGAGUCAUAUUGCAUAAUAAAGCAAAACUUUCAACAACGGAUCUCUUGGUUCUG